rnacentral:rRNA from 1 species
CCCUUAGAUGUUCUGGGCUGCACGCGUGCUACACUGAUUAUUUCAACAAGUGUUUUAACUGGAGAGUUUGCGUAAUCCUGAAAUGUUAUCGUGAUGGGAGUAGAGUAUUGUAUUUGUUAAUCUUUAACGAGGAAUUCCUAGUAAGUGUAGGUUUAUAAGUUGUUCUGAUUACGUCCCUGCCCUUUGUACACACCGCCCGUCGCACCUACCGAUUGGAUGGUCCGGUGAAGCCUCGGGAUUGUGGUUCUUGACGCUUUAUUGUGGCGUGACCGCGAGAACUUGUCUAAACCUUAUCAUCUAGAGGAAGGUGAAGUCGUAACA